rnacentral:rRNA from 1 species
UACAGAGGGUGCGAGCGUUGUCCGGAAUCACUGGGCGUAAAGGGCGCGUAGGUGGCCCGACAAGUCACUGGUGAAAGCUCGACGCUCAACGUCGAGUCGGCCAGUGAUACUGUUGGGCUGGAGCACUGUAGAGGCUCAUGGAAUUCCGGGUGUAGCGGUGGAAUGCGUAGAGAUCCGGAAGAACACCGGUGGCGAAGGCGGUGAGCUGGGCAGUAGCUGACACUGAGGCGCGACAGCGUGGGGAGCAACAGG